rnacentral:lncRNA from 1 species
GGGAGCGAUGUUCUCUCCUAUUGUUCCAGCACCUCCGAAGCUGUCUGCAAGGUCCUGGACUGACUUUGAGAAACUGAGGAAAGCUAUGGACACUUCUCCCAGGUGAAGACCAUAAGAGAAAAAACGAAGUUUCCUAGAGAAGAAAUUCUGCUUCCAGACUGUAAUACAGAAAUUCUGCUGAGUUUCCAGCCUGCCAGCCUGCCUACAGAUUUCUGCCUUGUCAGCCCUUACAGUGAUAUGAGACAAUUCCUUUAACUUCUUGAUAGAUAUGUAGAUAGAUAGAUAAAUGGACAGAUAGAUAUAGAUAAGAUAUAGAGGUAUAUAAACAUACACAUGCAUAUCUAUAUAUCAAUAAUCAUAAUCAUAAUCUAAGCAUAAUUAACUAGAUUUAGUUAUACAUUGGAUAAGGAGUUAAAGGAUAGUGUAUUAUAGCCUAGGUUUCUAUUUAAACAACUGAGCAGAUAGUGAUUUUAUUUAUUGAAAUGGAGGUAACUGGGAAAAAAUAAGCAUUUGGGUGGUGAGGGUAGUGGGAAUUAGUUCCCUUUUGUCCAGGUUAAUUUUGUGAUAUCCAAGUAUAUACGUAAAGUUGUGAAUAUGUGAAUGUAGAGCUGAGUGGGUGGUUUAAGUUAAAGAUAAAAUUAUAGGAUUGCCACAUAAAUAUGAUAUUUAGAGUUAAGGAACUUGAGGAGAAUUUCUAGUAGGAGAAUGAAAGAUGACUUAUGACCAAGUCCAGAGAGCCUAGGACCACAGUGUGAGGAGAACCAACAGUUAGAGCUCAGGUGGAAGUGGAAACACAGGAGUGAUGAGAGAAGGAAGAGGUAAAUGCGUGCUAUGGUGUCACAGACCUAGCAAGAGAAUAGUCAAUAGUGUGGAAUGAUUCAGAUUUAUCUAGCAAGAUAAGGCUAGAAAAAAAAGCGUUACAUGGGAUUGGCAAAAUGGAUGUCAUUAAUGACCUCAGCAAGAGUAUUUUUUGACUGGUGGGGAGGCAGCAAGACAGAUUCAGAUAGGUUCAAGAGUGAAUGGUAGGUAAGUGGAGACAGUACGUGGAGAUAAUUCUUUUAGGAAAUU